GGUUCCCCUAAUGGUACGUCCACUCCCUUCACACCCCGUGAAGGAUUUCACUAUGAUCUUUAUAAAGUGAAUCAAGAGAACAAUCCUCUCUCUUUCACUCUCUUGCUUCCAACAAUCCUGGACAGCAAGGUGAUUCCCCUUACAAAGUGAAACAAGAGAACAAUCCUCUCUUUUUCACUCUCUUGCUUCCAACAAUCCUGGAUAGCAAGGUGUUCA
rnacentral:lncRNA from 1 species